GUGCUCACUUGGGCAGCGCAUAUACUAAAAUUGGAAAGAUACAAAGAUUAGCAUGGCCCCUGCACAAGGAUGACAUGAAAAUUCAUGAAGCGUUCCAUAUUUUU
ensembl:snRNA Gm24499 predicted gene, 24499